rnacentral:rRNA from 1 species
AUUGAACGCUGGCGGCAGGCCUAACACAUGCAAGUCGAGCGGAUGAAGAGAGCUUGCUCUCUGAUUCAGCGGCGGACGGGUGAGUAAUGCCUAGGAAUCUGCCUGGUAGUGGGGGACAACGUUUCGAAAGGAACGCUAAUACCGCAUACGUCCUACGGGAGAAAGCGGGGGAUCUUCGGACCUCACGCUAUCAGAUGAGCCUAGGUACGAUUAGCUAUUUGGUGAGGAAAAGGCUCACCAAGGCGACGAUCGUUAACUGGUCUGAGAGGAUGAUCAGUCACACUGAAACUGAGAAACGGUCCAAACUCCUACGGGAGGCAGCAGUGGGGAAUAUUGGACAAUGGGCGAAAGCCUGAUCCAGCCAUGCCGCGUGUGUGAAGAAGGUCUUCUGAUUGUAAAGCACUUUAAGUUGGGAGGAAGGGCAGUAAGUUAAUACCUUGCUGUUUUGACGUUACCGACAGAAUAAGCACCGGCUAACUUCGUGCCAGCCGCCGCCGUAACAC